rnacentral:rRNA from 1 species
ACGAAUGCUUUCUGAGUUGUAAACCUCUUUCAGCAGGGACGAUAAUGACGGUACCUGCAGAAGAAGCACCGGCCAACUACGUGC